ensembl:lncRNA
UUCCUUAACCAGCUCUGAUUUUUGCCAAUGAGUUUGACAAGUGUGUUGACAUUUCAGGUAUGCAACAAACCCAGGUAUCAGAUGAAUUUUUCAUUUUGCUCUUUCCACCUCAGAGUAUUCUCUCUUUGAUUAGACUCUCAGUCAAAAUUUCGCUGCCUUGUUCUGCAUGUUCAGAACCACCCAUUCCUUCACUUGUACCUCCUGAGCCACAGAGAUGCCAUACUGAAGAUGCUCUUGCCUACUGAACAAGAGGAGGGGAAAAAAAGUUCUUCUAUGUCAUGUCCAUUAUCCUCAAAAUAAUUUUCUCUUGUUGUGUUUCCUUGGAGGAAUAAUCCAGUUCCAAUUUGUCACAUUACCUGGCAAAACCUGUAAAGGUCAGAUUAAAACAUAGGCAGUGCAAGGGAGGGUUUAAAUUACUUUCUCCAAGGAUAUAUCCACUGGCACAGCAGUCUGAUCUGCAACCUGAUCUCCUCUGGCUUGGCCAACCUGGGUUUCACAUCCAUAAGUAAUAGCAGAAAGAUUUUAAUCAAAUGGCUGAAUAUUCAAAGUUGAGUUCUUUCCAACAUGUAAUUGUUUUAAGAAGAUCUGAGCAAACUUUAUACUAGCUCCCAUAAUUGUUGGAAGAGAACAUAUGAAGGCAGCAUCUUUCUCAAAGGCUUUUAAUGAGUCCCUGCAGUUUUAAUUGGCAACUGACUGUUGCCUUAUCUUUUCUUGCAAAUUAUCCAUGUUACCAAGCUCCUUGUGAAGUUAGAGUAAUUUCUGAGGCUGCAGCAAGCAAGCUAGAGAAUUAUUUCCAUAGGACUCCAUGAAAAAAAACACAGCAGUAGAAAAUUCAAACUCAUCCAAAUUUGGCAACAAAUUGCUAAACUACUGCCUUAAUCACACAGUGCGGCACUGAGUUUUGUACAAUAAGCACUGCUGAUAAGCAGAGAAGCUUCUCAGAGAAGCUUGAGAAACUCUUGUGCUGGCUUUUCAGGACACGCUCUUAGUUUCACCAGGAAAAGAUUUACAUAAUUUACAGAGAGCUUGAGCUUCUGCUUCGUUCUUUUUGCUAAUACUGUUUUCCUAAAAGCAUGGACUGGUGUUGAGCAUAAGUCCACUAAAACCUGCAGCCUCACAUCACAAUGCUUUUGUGGGAAGUUUUUAUUCGAAUUUUCCCUCUGAGAGAAUAUAAUUUCAGAUGCUAAGGGCACCUUUCAAGUAAAUAUAUUCUUUGUGCAUUAAAAAUCCACUCCUUUCACAAAAUCCUUGCUCCUCCAAAACUGCAAAAAAUACUACUUAACUCUGCUCAUCAGAUUAUUCUUCAACAGGAAUGACAACUACUGCACAAUAUUAACAGGAGAUAAAUUUUCACUUACUAAGAAUGUAUUUUGUGUUAUCAAAUGAAGAAUUACAAAGCUUUAUAUUUAACUGAAUAUAAACAACCUGAAUUCAACUGAGUUGGAGUUUUUUUCCUUUUUUUUUUUUCCUCUGACAUCUCAUUGUUCCUUGUACCACAUAUGUUACUAAGAAACAAAACCACAUUUGAAUUUUAACACAUUUUUGCUUCUUCAGACUCUUGCGAUAGCACACUCAGAAAUCCUGUUUGCUAGGCAAUGAGCAAGACAAAAUCCUUUUUUGGUGGAAACAUUCCUAAUUGACAGAGUCUAAUAUUAAGCUGUGUGGCUUGGGUAGUGCCAAGGUGCAUCUGCACAUCUCAUGUUCAGCCUCCUUUACUAUCACUGGACUCCCACACUAAUGCUACAUCCGUGGACAGGAAGAGAAAGGCAGAGGCAUGCAACUGCAGCAAGUCACCCACUCGCUGAUGUUUACCUUGGUGCUAACAGGUGACCAAGGCAGAGAUUUUAAGCACGCCAGCAUUCAGCCUGUUAUUAAUCUACAUGAGUGGUGGCCCUACCUUCCUCAGUGCUUCUGAACACCCAUGGGUUUGGUUGCUCUUUCUUCCCAGGC